rnacentral:rRNA from 1 species
UGGGGAAUAUUGGGCAAUGGGCGCAAGCCUGACCCAGCAAUACCGCGUGGAGGAUGAAGGUCUUCGGAUCGUAAACUCCUGUUGCCCGGGACGAAUGGCUUCGACCUAAUACGUCGGAGUAUGACGGUACCGGGUGAGGAAGCCCCGGCUAACUCUGUGCCAGCAGCCGCGGUAAUACAGAGGGGGCAAGCGUUGUUCGGAAUUACUGGGCGUAAAGGGCGCGUAGGCGGCCUGUUAAGUCGAACGUGAAAUCCCUGGGCUCAACCCAGGAACUGCGUCCGAUACUGGCUGGCUUGAAUCCGGGAGAGGGAUGCGGAAUUCCAGGUGUAGCGGUGAAAUGCGUAGAUAUCUGGAGGAACACCGGUGGCGAAGGCGGCAUCCUGGACCGGUAUUGACGCUGAGGCGCGAAAGCCAGGGGAGCAAACGGGAUUAGAUACCCUUGUAGUCCCUGAGCGGGCUGGCAAGGCGCAU